GUGGGGAAUUUUGGACAAUGGGCGCAAGCCUGAUCCAGCCAUGCCGCGUGAGUGAAGAAGGCCUUAGGGUUGUAAAGCUCUUUUGCCAGGGACGAUAAUGACGGUACCUGGAGAAUAAGCCCCGGCAAACUUCGUGCCAGCAGCCGCGGUAAUACGAAGGGGGCUAGCGUUGUUCGGAAUUACUGGGCGUAAAGCGCACGUAGGCGGGUUGUUAAGUCAGGGGUGAAAUCCCGGAGCUCAACUCCGGAACUGCCUUUGAUACUGGCAAUCUAGAGACUGGAAGAGGUUAGUGGAAUUCCCAGUGUAGAGGUGAAAUCCGUAGAUAUUGGGAAGAACACCAGUGGCGAAGGCGGCUAACUGGUCCAGUACUGACGCUGAGGUGCGAAAGCGUGGGGAGCAAACAGGAUUAGAAACCCCGGUAGUCC
rnacentral:rRNA from 1 species